rnacentral:rRNA from 1 species
AACGAACGCUGGCGGCAUGCCUAACACAUGCAAGUCGAACGAGACCUUCGGGUCUAGUGGCGCACGGGUGCGUAACGCGUGGGAACCUGCCCUUAGGUUCGGAAUAACUCCCCGAAAGGGGUGCUAAUACCGGAUAAUGUCUUCGGACCAAAGAUUUAUCGCCUUUGGAUGGGCCCGCGUUGGAUUAGCUAGUUGGUAGGGUAAAAGCCUACCAAGGCGACGAUCCAUAGCUGGUCUGAGAGGAUGAUCAGCCACACUGGGACUGAGACACGGCCCAGACUCCUACGGGAGGCAGCCGUGGGGAAUAUUGGACCAUGGGCCAAAGGCUGAUCCCGCCAUGCCGCGUGAGUGAUGAAGGCCUUAGGGUUGUAAAGCUCUUUUACCCGGGAUGAUAAUGACAGUACCGGGAGAAUAAGCUCCGGCUAACUCCGUG